rnacentral:rRNA from 1 species
AACGAACGCUGGCGGCAGGCCUAACACAUGCAAGUCGAGCGCACCUUCGGGUGAGCGGCGGACGGGUUAGUAACGCGUGGGAACGUGCCCUUCUCUACGGAAUAGCCAUUGGAAACAAUGAGUAAUAUCGUAUACGCCCUUCGGGGGAAAGAUUUAUCGGAGAGGGAUCGGCCCGCGUUAGAUUAGAUAGUUGGUGGGGUAAUGGCCUACCAAGUCUACGAUCUAUAGCUGGUUUUAGAGGAUGAUCAGCAACACUGGGACUGAGACACGGCCCAG